CGAUACAAGGCUAAAAGUAUGAGUAAUUAGCUAUUUUCAAAAAAAUGAGCGAAUUACGAAUAUUUUUGCAGGGAUUGCAUGAAGCGUAGCUGUAGCAAUCCUGUAUCA
rnacentral:sRNA from 1 species